rnacentral:rRNA from 1 species
CAGCAGCCGCGGUAAUACGGAGGGUGCAAGCGUUAAUCGGAAUUACUGGGCGUAAAGCGCACGCAGGCGGUCUGUCAAGUCAGAUGUGAAAUCCCCGGGCUUAACCUGGGAACUGCAUUUGAAACUGGCAGGCUAGAGUCUUGUAGAGGGGGGUAGAAUUCCAGGUGUAGCGGUGAAAUGCGUAGAGAUCUGGAGGAAUACCGGUGGCGAAGGCGGCCCCCUGGACAAAGACUGACGCUCAGGUGCGAGAGCGUGGGGAGCAAACAGGAUUAGAUACCCGGGUAGUCCCUGUCUCUUAUAA